rnacentral:rRNA from 1 species
UACGUAGGGCGCAAGCGUUGUCCGGAAUUAUUGGGCGUAAAGAGCUCGUAGGCGGUUUGUCGCGUCUGCUGUGAAAACUCGAGGCUCAACCUCGGGCUUGCAGUGGGUACGGGCAGACUAGAGUGCGGGUAGGGGUGACUGGAAUUCCUGGUGUAGCGGUGGAAUGCGCAGAUAUCAGGAGGAACACCGAUGGCGAAGGCAG